rnacentral:rRNA from 1 species
CAGUAGCCGCGGGAAUAGGUAGGUCCCGAGCGUUGUCCGGAUUUAUUGGGCGUAAAGCGAGCGCAGGCGGUUUGAUAAGUCUGAAGUUAAAGGCUGUGGCUCAACCAUAGUUCGCUUUGGAAACUGUCAAACUUGAGUGCAGAAGGGGAGAGUGGAAUUCCAUGUGUAGCGGUGAAAUGCGUAGAUAUAUGGAGGAACACCGGUGGCGAAAGCGGCUCUCUGGUCUGUAACUGACGCUGAGGCUCGAAAGCGUGGGGAGCGAACAGGAUUAGAUACCCCCGUAGUCCCUGUCUCUUAUACA